rnacentral:rRNA from 1 species
UACGGGGGGGGCAAGCGUUGUUCGGAAUUACUGGGUGUAAAGGGCUAGUAGGCGGCCAACUAAGUCCGACGUGAAAUCCCUAGGCUUAACCUAGGAACUGCGUCGGAUACUGGAUGGCUUGAAUCCGGGAGAGGGACGCGGAAUUCCAGGUGUAGCGGUGAAAUGCGUAGAUAUCUGGAGGAACACCGGUGGCGAAGGCGGCAUCCUGGACCGGCAUUGACGCUGAAUAGCGAAAGCCAGGGGAGCAAACGGG